GAUGAACGCUGGCGGCGUGCCUAAUACAUGCAAGUCGAGCGAACAGAUAAGGAGCUUGCUCCUUUGACGUUAGCGGCGGACGGGUGAGUUACACGUGGAUAACCUACCUAUAAGACUGGGAUAACUUCGGGAAACCGGAGCUAAUACCGGAUAACAUAUUGAACCGCAUGGUUCAAUAGUGAAAGGCGGCUUUGCUGUCACUUAUAGAUGGAUCCGCGCCGUAUUAGCUAGUUGGUAAGGUAACGGCUUACCAAGGCAACGAUACGUAGCCGACCUGAGAGGGUGAUCGGCCACACUGGAACUGAGACACGGUCCAGACUCCUACGGGAGGCAGCAGUAGGGAAUCUUCCGCAAUGGGCGAAAGCCUGACGGAGCAACGCCGCGUGAGUGACGAAGGUCUUCGGAUCGUAAAACUCUGUUAUCAGGGAAGAACAAAUGUGUAAGUAACUGUGCACAUCUUGACGGUACCUGAUCAGAAAGCCACGGCUAACUACGUG
rnacentral:rRNA from 1 species